GAUGAACGCGGCGGCGUGCUUAACACAUGCAAGUCGAACGGAGUUUAUACGGAGAGCGUCUUCGGACACCGGAAGUAUAAACUUAGUGGCGGACGGGUGAGUAACGCGUGGGUAACCUGCCUUAUACAAGGGGAUAACAGAGGGAAACUUCUGCUAAUACCGUAUAAAAAUAUUUCACGCAUGUGAGAUAUUGAAAGAUUUAUCAGUAUGAGAUGGACCCGCGUCUGAUUAGGUAGUUGGUGAGGUAGAGGCUCACCAAGCCGACGAUCGGUAGCCGAUCUGAGAGGAUGACCGGCCACAUUGGGACUGAGACACGGCCCAAACUCCUACGGGAGGCAGCAGUGGGGAAUAUUGGACAAUGGGGGCAACCCUGAUCCAGCGACGCCGCGUGAGUGAAGAAGUAUUUCGGUAUGUAAAGCUCUAUCGAUAACGGAAGAAGAUGACAAGCCGUUAGGGAAGAAGCCCCGGCUAACUACGUGCCAGCAGCCGCGGUAAUACGUAGGGGGCAAGCGUUAUCCGGAUUUACUGGGUGUAAAGGGAGCGUAGACGGCAUAUAAAGUCUGAAGUGAAAACCCGCAGCUCAACUGCGGAGUUGCUUUGGAAACUUAUAAGCUAGAGUGUCGGAGGGGUAAGCGGAAUUCCCAGUGUAGCGGUGAAAUGCGUAGAUAUUGGGAGGAACACCGGAGGCGAAGGCGGCUUACUGGAAGAUAACUGACGUUGAGGCUCGAAGGCGUGGGUAGCAAACAGG
rnacentral:rRNA from 1 species